GUGCUCGCUUUGGCAGCACAUACACUAAAAUUGGAACGAUACAGAGGUUAGCAUGGCUCCCUGCGCAAGGAUGACACGCAAAUUCGUGAAGUGAAAACCAUGCUG